UGAGGAAGACUCAGAGAGAGAGAAGAGCUGGACCAUCUGAAACUUGCUCUCUCUCUCAAAACUCAUGAUCAAGGAACUGCCUGCUUCCAGAGGGAAUCUCCACCUGCCUCUGGAUGAUGCUUAAGUCUGCAAGUAGAGCCUGUUGGGAGCUCCAGCCUGCCACUGUCCAACUUGCCCCUGACUUUCAAGGGGCUGAGACCUUCAGAGGAUGUUCAGCACUCAGGAUCUGAAAAUCAGGGCCAGUUAAGAUGUCCCAAGCUGGGUGCUGGCAACAAUAGAAGAUGACAUUUCUUAUAUUUGAGGCUCCUCCUCUCUGUGUUGAGGGAUGGAUCAGCCUGUCAGGAUCCCUAUUCCCAAACAGAACCUGGUUACUCUCUGAAAAUCAACAAACCUGGGGUAGGAUUAUCUGAGGUAAAAUGAGUGACUGAGCCUUCAAAAGAAACUGGGUCCAGUUGAUUUCCUCCCGAAGCUGUAGGUUAUACCCUAGCCUUGCACCUGAUGUAAGCAAGGCAUAGAAUACAAAUCCUGUUCCUAGUCUGAAAAGAA